AUUGAACGCUGGCGGCAUGCCUUACACAUGCAAGUCGAACGGCAGCACGGGUGCUUGCACCUGGUGGCGAGUGGCGAACGGGUGAGUAAUACAUCGGAACAUGUCCUGUAGUGGGGGAUAGCCCGGCGAAAGCCGGAUUAAUACCGCAUACGAUCCACGGAUGAAAGCGGGUGACCUUCGGGCCUCGCGCUAUAGGGUUGGCCGAUGGCUGAUUAGCUAGUUGGUGGGGUAAAGGCCUACCAAGGCGACGAUCAGUAGCUGGUCUGAGAGGACGACCAGCCACACUGGGACUGAGACACGGCCCAGACUCCUACGGGAGGCAGCAGUGGGGAAUUUUGGACAAUGGGCGAAAGCCUGAUCCAGCAAUGCCGCGUGUGUGAAGAAGGCCUUCGGGUUGUAAAGCACUUUUGUCCGGAAAGAAAUACUUGGCUCUAAUACAGUCGGGGGAUGACGGUACCGGAAGAAUAAGCACCGGCUAACUACGUG
rnacentral:rRNA from 1 species